UUAUUGACAAUGGUGAUCUCUGGAGGUAUAAAUACUGAAGAAUAUGUCAUUUACAGAGAAGAUCUUUGAAAUCUGUUUCCUUUAGACAGCAAAAGAAGAAGAGGUGUUUUCACAACAAAACAGACAAAGAAUCAUACCGAUUUGAAGAAACAGUACUUCCCAAAUUCCUUCCAAAAGUUCAGAGACCCACCAAAGUCUGGUGGACCACUGCCACCAGUCGACCUGAUCUGAGAUGUAAGGUGGGGCCCAGGAGUCCCACAGAUGCAGGGUGCAGUAAGGCCAGGACCCAGCCUCGAUGGCCAUCGCCCGUUGUCAAGCUAUAAACAGGAGAAUAUCUAAAGCAAAGCUGAAAGUGCACAAAGAAUUUUAAGAAACCUGAAGAGCCCCAAAGUAACUAGAAGCGAGACCAUGAGGAGCA